UGUUUGCUCUGUUUGUCAGGCUGUGGACCGUCAGGCACAACUGAAACGUGCCAAACAACAAAGGGUGCUGGAACUCCUUGCGACUCUCCGGGCCUCACAUCCACAUCCACCAAUGCUGACAAGCCUGGAUGUGCAAAUGAGCAACAAAGCUGAGGAGGAACAUCCAGAUAUCCCCCAUAAUGUUCCGGCAGCCCCUGCCAAUGAUCCCGCAGCUCCUGCAGCCAAGACACGAUCCAGGACAGCCACUAGUUUGAGCUCUGGAAUGAAAAAAUACAGAAUAACGCGACAAAUUGCAGAUAUCGCAGCUCUGAGAAGGAAGAUAAGGGCCAUGAAAUAUGAAAGGGCGCCUUCCAGGUUUGUUUGUGGUGUGACCAAUUCCACAGCUAUAAAACACAAAUUGGAGCACUUGGACCAUUUUCUAAAGUGGAUCCUGAAAACAAGAUCGAAGUGGGUGCGUGCAUCUCUGAGCUAUGCCAUCAUGAUGAUAAAGAACAUUAAGAAGCAUGUGACACGUGGCAGUAUGACCCGCCAGCAAGAAGUUGGUCAAGACACAAAGGCAGUUUCCUCAUGCCAGUGAGGACGAGCUGCCAGACCGACGCACGAUUUCUCAGAGAGGUACCCGUAAACAGUCUGUUUAAACAUCAUAAACAUUACAUAUGUGUA
rnacentral:lncRNA from 1 species